rnacentral:rRNA from 1 species
AUUGAACGCUGGCGGCAGGCCUAACACAUGCAAGUCGAACGAGUGGCGGACGGGUGAGUAAUGUCUGGGAAACUGCCUGAUGGAGGGGGAUAACUACUGGAAACGGUAGCUAAUACCGCAUACCAUCAGAUGUGCCCAGAUGGGAUUAGCUAGUUGGUGGGGUAACGGCUCACCAAGGCGACGAUCCCUAGCUGGUCUGAGAGGAUGACCGGCCACACUGGAACUGAGAAACGGUCCAGACUCCUACGGGAGGCAGCAGUGGGGAAUAUUGCACAAUGGGCGAAAGCCUGAUGCAGCCAGGCCGCGUGUAGGAAGAAGGCUUUCGGGUUGUAAAGUACUUUUGGGGGGGAGGCGUUACCGGAAGAAGAAGCACCGGCUAACUCCGUGCCAGCAGCCGCGGUAAUAC